GAGAGAUGCAAGGCAAAGUCAUGAGGUUCUCUGUACAGAGGGUCUCGCUUGGCCUUCUGUAGCCUUGUCUGAGCAGAAGUUCCAGGAGGAGGCUAUGGCUCUGGCUGCCACCACCGGUUGAGCUGGUCAGCAGGAAGUUUGACGUGCCAGAAAAACAAGGGAGGGAACAAGAAAGGCAUUUUUCCAACUUAUCCAGAUGCCUCGGAGCCUAGAGUUGAUUGGCUGAAGAGAACUGAUUUGAGUGAAGAAACAGAGGCAAAGGGAGCAUAAGCAAUUUUCCAAAGGCCAUACAACAUGUAAGUGGCUGAGCCAAGACUGAAAUCACCAGGUUCUUAACCACUAGGCCAUAUUGCAUUGGAGUGUUGCCUCCUGGAGUAAGACUAGGCUAAAAGCUUCAUAGAAACCUAAAGGAGUUAGAGAAGGAAGAUCUCUCAAUGGAAAUGCUAAGAAGAGACACAAGGAAAGACACAUCACUAAGGAGAGACCCAAGGAAAAUGGCUCUAUGACUACAGUCCAUUUAAAGAAUGAGGGCGUUCCUUCUACCAAGUUACAGGUGGAGAUGUGUUUACCUGCUGGAUACCAAUGCUUCUAGCAUCAGGGAGAAGUUGAGCCCUGGAGGAAACAUUGCCUCUAAGUUUGUGUUCUGAUGGAGAUGAUGACUACUUCACAGGCACUUUGCAAGGUCUGAUGACAUUGACAAUACAUUGGACAAAGAGCAAAGGAAGAGGAGUCUGCAAAACAACAACAACAACAACAGAAAAAAACAAAAUAAAACAAAGGGUCAUCGGAAGAGUAACAGGAGAAAGAAGAGUUAAUGUGUGGUGGAAUCCUUGGGAAAGCAUGAGUCAAGAAGUAUAGUAUACACAAUUCAGAUAACCAAGGGGUUACUUCCAAAAGGAUGAAUGUAUUUGUAGGCAAGGCGCAUGGAAAUAAGGUAUAGCUUGCAUAAAAAUCCAGAGUUUUGGUAAUAAAAUCUUUCUGCUGAGUUUUAAUUUGGAUUUGAA
rnacentral:lncRNA from 10 species